rnacentral:rRNA from 1 species
AUUGAACGCUGGCGGCAUGCCUUACACAUGCAAGUCGAACGGUAACAGGUCUUCGGAUGCUGACGAGUGGCGAACGGGUGAGUAAUACAUCGGAACGUGCCCGAGAGUGGGGGAUAACGAGGCGAAAGCUUUGCUAAUACCGCAUACGAUCUCAGGAUGAAAGCAGGGGACCGCAAGGCCCUGCGCUCACGGAGCGGCCGAUGGCAGAUUAGGUAGUUGGUGGGAUAAAAGCUUACCAAGCCGACGAUCUGUACCUUGUCUGAGAGGACGACCAGCCACACUGGGACUGAGAAACGGCCCAGACUCCUACGGGAGGCAGCAGUGGGGAAUGUUGGACAAUGGGCGCAAGCCUGAUCCAGCCAUGCCGCGUGCAGGAUGAAGGCCUUCGGGUUGUAAACUGCUUUUGUACGGAACGAAAAGACUCUGGUUAAUACCUGGGGUCCAUGACGGUACCGUAAGAAUAAGCACCGGCUAACUACGUGCCAGCCGCCGCCGUAA